rnacentral:lncRNA from 1 species
UCAGGGGUGGAACCUUUAAGAAAAGCCCUGAUUAGACGUGGCUCUAAUGGGGACACUCCGAUACUCAAGUCAGUAUCUCAUUCAAUAGUAGGAGGAGUGUGAUAGGUAGAGUGAUGGCUUAUCUUGAGGUCUCCUUUUUCACAUCUUCUUAUAGACGGAGUUUGAAGGUCAUUAGGCCUGUGCCCGUAAGCCAUCAAGAUAGGCUGCCUAC